UUAAUUGCACUUUCGACGACAACACGUUCCAAAAUGACCACAUAAAUUCUUUCACUUUUGGAAGGAUGAGCAACUAUCGUAGGACAUUCCAUUUCAAGGAUACCACAGUAUCAAACUUGUCACCAUAUAAAUGAUUUCCAACAUACUAACCUGAUUUUACCGUAAUAAUCUCGACCACCUCUUACACUUACAAAAAUUUUC
rnacentral:lncRNA from 1 species